rnacentral:rRNA from 1 species
AUGAAGCUCGACGAGGGCGACGGCGUUUGCAGGCCGCUCGGAUGCCGACACGGACUGGUGCUCAUCAUCGUACCGAAGCGUCUCCAGGUCCUGGUGUGGGAACCCUUCACCGGCGACCAGCACCGCCUCGAUGUUCCCCCGGGGCUCACGACGAAUGGUUGCGAUGCGAGCCGGAUCAACGGGGCGGUGCUUCGCGGUGCCGCCGAGGACGCCGAGCACUUCCAGGUGGUCUUGGUUGCAGCAGACGGCGGGGUAGAAAACCGGCGAGCAAUGGCCUGCGUCUACUCGUCGGAGACCGGUGCAUGGGAAAGGUUCAUCACAACACCCCUUCCAAACCAUGGUCAUGCGAGCAGCUUAUUUCUGAGGUAUUCCACCAGCGUUUACAUGGAUCAUGCUGUGUUGGCUGGAGAUUCCCUUUACUGGCAGCUCAUUGGGAAUUUCCAAGGAAUUCUCCAGUUUGAUUUGGAGAGGCAGAGGCUUUUUGUAAUGCCGGUGCCGGUGCCUAUCUAUAGCAAGGGCAACUGCUUCAAGCUUAUGCGGGCCGAGGGUGGUGGUGGUGGUGGGAUAGGAUUCCUGUUCAUGUCGAAUUCGGACUACGUUGCCCAGUUAUGGAGGAGGAAGACCGAUGCCGAUGGUGUUGCUUCAUGGGUGAUCCGAAGGUCUAUCGAACUCCACAAGUUACUUUCGCUCCGUUCAGGGGAUGGAGAAUAUAUGGAUCGUAGGGUUUGCAGAGGACAACAACGUGGUACUUAUGGAUAUGCUAAGUGGCUUCUUCAUGAUCCAACUCGACUCACUGCACUGGUUCAAGAAGCUUGCCAGACCCAAGGCGGCGGUGUCCUGUUGUCAUGCGUUUGA